rnacentral:rRNA from 1 species
AUUGAACGCUGGCGGCAGGCCUAACACAUGCAAGUCGAACGAGUGGCGGACGGGUGAGUAAUGUCUGGGAAACUGCCUGAUAGAGGGGGAUAACUACUGGAAACGGUGGCUAAUACCGCAUACCAUCGGAUGUACCCAGAUGGGAUUAGCUAGUAGGUGGGGUAACGGCUCACCUAGGCGACGAUCCCUAGCUGGUCUGAGAGGCUGACCAGCCACACGGGAACUGUGACACGGUCCAGACGCCUACGGGAGGCAGCAGUGGGGAAUAUUGGACAAUGGGCGCAAGCCUGAUGCAGCCAUGCCGCGUGUAUGAAGAAGGCCGUCGGGUUGUAAAGUACUUUCAGCGGGGAGGCGUUACCCGCAGAAGAAGCACCGGCUAACUCCGUGCCAGCCGCCGCGGUAAUAC